GCAGGUGACAUGGGCUGGUGAUGAAAUGUGUAGAAUUCUUUCCACAACCGCCUGAAGGCAGGGCCCAUGGCCUUCUCCUGACCGAAGACUCUGGGUUCAGCUUCAUGGCGGCUGAAGAGACGCAUUGGCCUGUCCCUAUGAAGGCCAUUGGUGCCCAGAAUCUGCUAACCAUGCCUGGGGGCGUGGCCAAGGCUGGCUACCUGCACAAGAAGGGCGGUACCCAGCUGCAGCUGCUGAAAUGGCCCCUGCGCUUUGUCAUCAUCCACAAACGCUGCGUCUACUACUUUAAGAGUAGCACCUCCGCCUCCCCGCAGGGCGCCUUCUCCCUGAGUGGCUAUAACCGGGUGAUGCGGGCAGCGGAGGAGACCACGUCCAACAACGUUUUCCCCUUCAAGAUCAUCCACAUCAGCAAGAAGCACCGCACGUGGUUCUUCUCGGCCUCCUCCGAGGACGAGCGCAAGGUGACUGGGGGUCCGAGGACGAGUGCAAGGUGACUGGGGGUGUGGGCCUGCAGGCACCAGGCUGGACCUGCCUUGGGGGCUCGCUGGUCAUGGGGCGCUGGCCUCUCAGCCCUGGGCAAAGAGAAGGUGUGGCUGGGACACAGGCAGCUGGGUGGGCACCGCCCCAGCCCCAUCCCCAUGCCUA
rnacentral:sRNA from 1 species